UUCAGAUUUACAGCAGAGGAAGGCUAAAUGCCUAAACACAUCCUGCUCUAAGGAUAUGAAAUAAAACUACUUCGCUUUAUGCUCUGGGUGCAGCUAAAGCGGAUUCCCCAUCAAGAGAUCCUGCUCUGUGAAACCUGAAACUGGCCCCUGAUGCUCAACAUUCUGUUCCAAUUAACCCCUGAAGGAUAUCUCUCUGCAUGGUGAAUUAAAACUAUCACAUCGGCACCCUCAACGUUCAGCCUCAGCAAUGGAAAUAAACAGUAUACAGCAACCAGAAACCACAGCUCCACACACAGUUGGUAAUUCUAGAGCUGGGUAACUAGAGCAGCUCCAUUACACUCCGCAGUUACCCAGAGCCACCACUACAGACCUGUAUACAGAAAAAAAGGCUUCUGAUCACACAAAUUAUUUAUUUCUGUUAGAUUUCAAGUAUUGUGAUAGAAAUGCUGAACAGUAGUUUUUAGCUAAAGAAAUUCUAGAUUGACAGUCAAAAGGAAAAAAGUUUGGAGUUUAUUUUUUUUUUUUUAUUUUAUU